GUACAACCUGGUACGAAUAAGGAAGGGGGAUGAAUGGAAAACCACUAUGUUCACCCCUUUAGGGGCAUUUGAAUAUUUGGUUAUGCCCUUCGGCCUACAAGCGGGCUCCGCAACAUUUCAAUCGUUUAUGAACCACGUCCUGGGGCCUUUGCUUUACAAGAAUUGUGUGGCCUUUUUAGACGACGUGUUGGUGUAUUCUGAGAAUGAGGAGCAGCAUGUGAGAGACGUCAGAGAAGUGUUGAGCAGGCUGCAAGCCAACCAGCUGUGGGUGAAACUGGAGAAGUGUCAGUUUCAUACCAAGGAGGUGGAAUUCCUGGGGUAUCGCCUGUCAGACAAGGGAUUAGCCAUGGAUCCCGGCAAGGUCCAGGCGGUGCUGGAAUGGAAAACACCCAAAACAAAGAAGGAUGUGCAGAGGUUCCUAGGAUUUGGGAACUUCUAUCGUAAGUUCAUCCGAAACUUUGCCCACCUGACGGCGCCCAUUACGGACUGUCUCAGCAGUAAGAAGAAGUUCGUGUGGACUGAGGAGGCGGAGCGAGCAUUUGAGGAACUAAAAAGGGCCUUCGCCUCGGAACAACAACUCCUGCAUGUGGAUUUACAAAACCGAUGAGAGUGGAAACUGACGCAUCAGACAGAGCGAUUGGGGCGGUGCUUCUGCAGCCAGGCAAGAAGGGGUCAGAGUGGAGACCGUGUGCUUUUUUUUUCGCGAAAGCUGAACAAAUCCGAGAGGAACUACACGGUGUAUGACCGAGAACUACUAGCCAUUCAUGAGGCGUUCCGGAGAUGGAGGCACCUGCUAAUUGGCGCACAACAUAAGGUGCAAGUGUGCACUGACCACAAGAACCUAGAGUAUUGGAGGACGGCACGAGUGCUCAACCAACGGCAAGUGAGAUGGGCCCAGGAGUUCUCCAAAUUUAACUUUGAGAUUAGUUACGUGCCAGGCCCAGAGAACAUUAGGGCGGACGCUCUCUCACGCAAACCUGAAUAUUUGGAGGGGAGGGGCACCCGAAGAGAGACAUGUCAUUCCAGAGGACCGCUGGGUGUGUGGGGCGGCAUUGGUGGGACAAAGAGAACUGGUAGAGGAAACAGAGAAUGAUGAAUACGCCCAGAAUAAGCUCAGAGGUCUUAGGGGUGAUGGAGAGGAACCAGGGGGUUUCGAAGAAAGAAAUGGAGCUUUGUAUUACAACGGGGCACUGUAUAUCCCUGAAGGAGAGUUAAGGGGGAGGGUACUCAAGCAGUUGCACGACAGCCCUACGGCGGGGCAUUUUGGACAACACAAAACCAUGUGGUUGGUCACCAGGGAAUUUUGGUGGCCUAAGGUGAGGGAAGAUGUACGUGAGUAUGUAAGAGGGUGCGAGCAAUGCCAGCGAGCCAAAGGGGAAGGCGGGCGCCGGCGGGGCUAUUAGAACCCUUACCAACCCCAGAACGACCUUGGGAGGCAGUGUCGAUAGAUUUUAUGACUGAUCUGCCGAAGUCCAAAGGGAAAACAGCCAUCAUGGUGGUGGUAGACCUACUAACAAAGAUGUGCCACUUUGUAGCUUGCUCGCAUGCAGUCACGGCGGAAGAGACAGCGAAGUUAUUUGUAGAAAACAUUUUUAGGUUGCACGGGGUGCCAUUGAGGGUGGUCUCAGACCGAGGAAAACAAUUUACUUCCAGGUUCUGGAGGAAGCUCAUGAGCUUACUGCAGGUGGAGGUCAAUUUUUCGACUGCCCGGCACCCUGAAACCAACGGGCAGGCGGAAAGAGCAAACGGUGUCCUCCAGCAAUACCUGAGGUGUUAUGUCAAUGACAGAGAGAAUGACUGGGUAGAAAAGUUGGCGCUGGCGGAAUUUGCCUACAACAAUGCCGAGAAUGUGUCCACAGGGAUGAGCCCCUUCUUGGCUAAUUAUGGGUGUCAUCCCAGGGCUUUCCCAGGGGAGAUGGGGAGAGAUGGAGCGUCCCGGCAGCCGAGCAUUUUGUGGAAGAAAUGGAAGCAAUCCAUCGUCAGCUCCAACUCAACUUAGAAAGGGCGAAGGAAGAAUACAAGAGGCAGGCAGACAAGAACCGAAGGGAAGGUGAAACCAUAAGGGUGGGAGAUAGGGUGUGGCUGUCAACCCAAGGGUUGCCGUUCAAAGGAGGUUGUAAGAAAUUAAGACCCAGGAGGUUGGGUCCCUUUGAGGUCAUUCAACAGGUCAACCCAGUGGCUUUCAGGCUCCGGUUACCCAACCACAUGAAACUGCACCCAGUAUUUCACAGGUCGUUACUGUCACCGUACGAAGGGGGACGAGAAGGGCUGGCCACUCGGGGACCGGUCGUAGAAGAAAGAGAAUGCAGCAGCCAUGUGGCAGAAAUCCUCGACGCCAGGUGGAAGGGGGAUCAGGUGGAGUAUUUGGUAGCGUGGGAAGGAGAACCGGAGUCAGAAAACACUUGGGUAAUGGCUGAAGAUAUCAAUGACGAGGUAUUGAUAGAAACGUUCCAUCAAAGGUUCCCAAGGAAACCUCAGCCUGUGGAGAGGUUCCGGAGGGAAUACUUUGGGACCACUGAUGAAGGGGAGGAGUUGGAAGGAUUCCCGGACUCGGAAGGGGAAGGGGAUGGACUCUGAGGAGGAGGUGUACUUCGAGACCAGGAACCGCAACAGGUUGAGAGAAGUGUUCGAGACAAAGGAAGAUGAAGGAAUUUCAUUCCGGGUUUUGCCUCCUCACCGCCCGUAGAGGAGGGGCGAGAGGGGGUGAAGGGGGCCCUGGAGGGGAGGUGGAUGUCAGGGAACUGCCAUCGGACGGAAGGGAGGUGAAAGGGCUCACACAGGUUGGGAGAGACGCAGCAGCUGAAGAGGGAACCAGCAGGGAGGUGAAAGGGCUCACACAGGUUGGGAGAGACGCAGCAGCUGAAGAGGGAACCAGCAGGGAGGUGAAAGGGCUCACACAGGUUGGGAGAGACGCAGCAGCUGAAGAGGGAACCAGCAGGGUUAGAGGAGCUGAGCUGGAGGGAUGGCUCAGAGACACUUCCAGCGAAAACAGUGGUGAGGUUUCAGGACCUCCUGUAAGAACACCCACUCCUCGCCGGAAACUGUCACGCAGAGAUUCCAGAAGACGUGUUUCCGUUAAGGAGCUUUUAUGUUGGAAGCGAUUACGAAAGCAACCACUGUCGGAAUCUGCUAGUGACUAGAGUAGCCAUGUCUGAGGGGCUCCGUCACAGACAGAGGUUUGUGGACUUGAACAAACUCUGAGGGGAUACGAUUUUACGCACAAGCAGCUCAUCAUCCCAUC